rnacentral:rRNA from 1 species
CCUACGGGUGGCAGCAGUGAGGAAUAUUGGUCAAUGGACGAGAGUCUGAACCAGCCAAGUAGCGUGAAGGAUGACUGCCCUAUGGGUUGUAAACUUCUUUUAUAUGGGAAUAAAAUGUUCCACGUGUGGGAUUUUGUAUGUACCAUAUGAAUAAGGAUCGGCUAACUCCGUGCCAGCAGCCGCGGUACUACGGAGGAUCCGAGCGUUAUCCGGAUUUAUUGGGUUUAAAGGGAGCGUAGGUGGAUUGUUAAGUCAGUUGUGAAAGUUUGCGGCUCAACCGUAAAAUUGCAGUUGAAACUGGCAGUCUUGAGUACAGUAGAGGUGGGCGGAAGUCGUGGUGUAGCGGUGAAAUGCUUAGAUAUCACGAAGAACUCCGAUUGCGAAGGCAGUUCACUGGACUGCAACUGACACUGAGGCUCGAAAGUGUGGGUAUCAAACAGGAUUAGAUACCCUGGUAGUC